rnacentral:miRNA from 1 species
CGUUGUAGGAUUCUCGUUGAGA